ACCGUUAAUAGAGUUGUGACUUGACUUCGAGGAGCAACUCAUAGAACGCGGUGUGGUAGCCUUUUUUGAGGUUUUUAAAGACUUUGGUGAUUUUUGAAGCUUUUCCAAAACUUUCCCAACACCGUGCUUCGCAAGACGAAAAAAAUCGCAAGACGACAAAACUCGCGGAACGAAUUAAUUUCGUCUUGCGAGGCACCACUGUACUUUACGGAUCCUAGUGAUCAAGAGUAACCCUGCUUAUUGCAAUUCAUCCGCAGCAAUUGAUUCCCCACCCCAACCAGGCCAGGCUGCGUCCCAAGAACUGCUGGUACCACCGGCAGCUCAAUGCAGGUGGAAUCAAUGACAGGACAGGCAGGUGGUGCAGUCACAAAUCCAACAGGGCAUUCUCAAAAGUGGCUCAACCGGCAUUGAGAAAUGAGUCCCGGGAAGGCCCCUCUUGGCUUCUCAGAUCACUUGAGCCUUUUGGGCUUCAUGCUUGAGUAUGCUUUUCAACCAGUCUAGAGGCGGCAGCACAGCUAUAGCCGGCCAAUUCCAUUGUUUACUAGGAGGUGUCCCUUUUCAUAAAACCAUAGAGUUGAAAGGGACCCCUAGGGUCAUCUAGUCCAACCCCCUGCAAUGCAGGAAUCUCAGCUAAAACAUCCAUGGCAGAUGACCAUGACUAUCUGAAAAUAUGGACUCCAUGAGUUGUUUUUGUUUCCAAGUUAUGUUUACGAUGUUACUAUUGAAAACCAAUAAUAAUAAUAAUAAUAAUAAUAAUAAUAAUAAUAAUUUUAUUAUUUAUACCUUGCCCAUCUGGCUGUGUUUUUAAAAAAACAUAUUAACCACCCCCCAGCAAGGAAGCAUCACACAAGUCUCAUGGGGGGCGUGUGGUGACGUAUUGCCCCCAUCCUGGCUACAGGACCAGCUGGAAGCCCUGAAGAGCACUAGGUUAUUCUCUCUUCAGACUUCUCCCCCAUGCUGAUGCUUAAAUAGCCCCCCUCCAUGUUCUCACAUUCUUAAGUGUCUUUCUUGUCUUCCUUGUCGGAGAGAGUGAGUGAGAAGCCAUCAUGAGCACAGACACAAUAAAUAUAGGAAAAGGGUUAGUGUCCAGCACUGCAGUUCAAUUAGAGAAGCUCCUUUUAAAAACCACUGUGCUGCCUCCCUGCUGUCACCUCCUCCUCCUCCAGAAACAGGCAGAUCCUGGGGGGACCUGGCAAGACAAUAAGGAAAAACCAAAAUUGCAGGCAGGGCGUUUAGGGGUGGCGGCGGGGAGUUGUUUUGCUCCUCGUGCUCUUCUCCAACAUCUUGCUCUUCCGAUCUUUUCUCUUCCUCUCCCUGAAACGAGGGUUGGCUUUUGUUUAGCAUUUUACCCCCCCUCCUCCUCCCUCCCGCCAGCCAUGCUUCUCUGAGCUCAGAGAGCAUCUGCUGUGCUCUCUCCUUGCUCUCAGCAUCUCUCUGGAGCACGAUUACUCCACGCCCUGGGUGAAAGCGGGAGAAAUAUGUGCUGAGAUGACAUUUCGGUUAUACAUGAUGCCAUUAAAAUAUGAUAAGAAUGCUAUUAACAUUAAUAAUCCUUUUCAUUGUAUCAUUUAGGGAGCAAAACAAGCCAUUAAAUAUUACAGAGACAUUGGUGUUUUGAUGGCUUUGAGGAGGGAAACAUUUGGACUUAUUUGUCUACAUACCUCCUCUGGAGACAGAGAAACCCCAACGUUAUUUCUGCAAAUGGUGUUCUGCCUUUCUGCAUCUCCAAGGAGCCUGGCAUGGCCAAGGCAAGCCUCAAAUGGGCUUCUGGCUCUGGUCAGUGGGCCAAAUCCUUCUCUCCUCCACCUUUGGUGGGCCAAGCGGGACAGGGGGGUGGAGUCCCCUGUCUGUCAGUCACUGUUGAUGAAUUUAUCAGCAGGGACUUUUUGGAGUGGUGUUUUUGCUCAAAGAGAAGAGCGUGUCAGUGAUAGCUAUGGGCAAAUGGAGCCAGAUUGAGAAGAAGACCUAUGAAUGUAUCUGAAGUCCUUAAUCUCACAAGUGAUGAGUGUUGGGCCAACUCCAGCUGGGGAGCACAAGUAGCCUACACAACAGAGUUUGCUUCCUCUGUUGUUAACGGAGCUGCUUAUGUACGUGCCAGCCAAUGUCUCACGCAGUAUUUAUUAUUCAUUUUUACAAAUACCAUACUGAAAAUAAAGACACGGAUGGCACCCAGAGAGAGAGAGACACACACCUAUAGACACCUACAGACAUAUAUUUACAUACUUAUGAAUACAAAUGCAAACACUUUUACAUACAUAGAUUGAGUGGGUUCCUUCAGUUUAAUAUAGAAAUCUUUUUUUUAUGUUUCACUCUCUUUUCCUCUUGUUGAAGGUAGGGUGUUCUUAGGGAGAGAACGUGCUUGGCUGUUUCAGGAUCUCCUUCUCCUUACCCUGCCUUUUGUCUCUGUGACAUUGCUCUCUCCUGCCUUUUCCUUUCAGGGUUUGUGUUAUGUACUGAGUGAGCUGAAUAAAGAGCAUGAAAUCCACUCUCGACUCUGAGUAUAUUUCAGUUUGUAUUAGGAAGUGCUCUUGGUUAGGUUGGCCUGGGUAAAAUAGGAAGGGUGACCUUCUACCAAAGGAGGUGGUGGGUUCUCCCUCACGGGAAGUCUUCAGCCAGAGGCUGGGGAUCCAUUUGUGGAGACACUCUAGCUCUGCCCUUCUGUCUUGUGCAGCGGGUUCAGCUCUAUGCUCUCCUUAUAAUAUGGUUCUGGCAAUAGUGAGGUGACUGACUGCUACCAGAGAGUGAAGAUAAACUGGGGGAGGAAGUGUCUUGUGGGAGUCAGAGAGGUCAGAAAUGUCUGUGGGUUUCUUUAACACCUUCUCUAAUGAUCUGUCAGAGACAGUAAACAGCAAAGCUCACUGUAUGGCAUGAUGAGCUUGACCUGCUGUACUUUGUUGGGACUGUAUUAUUCACAAAUACUUGGAGACUUGUGAGAAGAUGAAGGGUUUUUUAAAUGGUUGGGGGUUUUUUUGCACAAACAAUGACUGGCUGGAAAAUCUUUAAUUUCAGUUAUGAAGAAUCAGCCACUUGGUCAUGUGAUCUGGGUGCCCAAUCACAGAGCACUGAACAGUGCAAACAACCAGCCAAAGGGAAGAGUUCCCAAAUAAGUGUAUUCACGUGAUUUAUUCAUAAAUGAUUGCAGACAACAAAGGCCCGAGCAGAUAAAAGAAUACAAAAACCCAGAAAGAGCAAGAAGGUUAAAUUCUCAGUCCAUUUUUUUUAUAUGAAUAAGUUGAACAGCUCCAAUAAACAGCUACUUAAUGACAUUCAGUGAUGUAACAAAAGUGAAGAGAGAUCAAAGAAGCAGAUAGGAGGGGGCAGGUGAGUCUGAGAUGAAUUAUGGAUGAGAAAAGAAAAGAAAAGAAGGAGAAAAAAGUAGAUCUUUUUGCGGUAGAAAACACUGCUGGGUGAUUUUAUUCUGGUUGCAGUUUGUGCAAUCCAGUGCUUAUGCUGCUUGUAUUGCAGCCGCAGUAAUAACUUUUCUUUCUUUUUCCAUAUAGAAAAGCGAGUGCAGUGAGUUUCUGUCUGGGGCACAAGUGGCUGGAGUGACUUUGGAUCAGGCUUGGAUCUCUCAAAUUCACAGGGUUGAUGUGAGGGUGAAAGCUGCAUCUGUCCUCUUGGUUAGAAGGGAAGGUUAAAAAUGGCAUCAGGUGGAAGUCAACAUCACACGAUGGUGAAUGUGCUCAAGCAUUUCAGCUUGCUGGAGAGAACAUGCUCCCCCUCCUUGACCCAGGUGCUUCUCUGGGGGUUAUCCCAACACCCACCCCAAGCCAUUUUCAAGGGGUGCAGGGGAGGCACAAGGGGGGGGGGAGGAAAGUCCCAUUGUGCCAGCAGAAAUCCUUCUGCAGGGCUUCUGCUCUGAAGAUGAACUGCACCCAGAGUCUGCAGACUGUCAAAUACUGCCAGCAACCAUGUAGUCUGAAAUCCUGAAUAUUCAAUAAUGGUGAAUAUUGAGUGCCAAUUACGGAACACCGUUGUGUGUCUAAUGCCGACAAGUGGAUGCAUAAAUUUCCACAGAUAUUCAAUAUCUAGAUCUUGAGAUAAGGGUUUGCCGGGGAAAAUUCAUUUCAAGCUGCGCCAGCCGAUGCCUUUCAUCCAGAGUGUUGACCAUUUUUGCCUCAACAAUUCUAGUAGCAGGGUAGACCAAAGAGGCAGGGCCUGGAGCAGGAUAAAGAGUUGAGAGCCUGGAAGCAGAAUGAACACAAAAAGCUUUCUGAUUGGUCUCAUGGCUGGCACUGGUAGAUUCAAAGAGCCAAGCCCAUAUAUUACUGGCAGUGCUGCAACUGCUCAAAGCUGCAACUGGUUUAAGUCGUUGCCAUGUCACCUGUCUCCUUCCCCUUAACAGAACCUGUGAUGGAAGGAAAGGGAUUGUUAAGGGUGCACUUGAGCCCUGCCAUUUCUCAGAGGGCAGCUUGUAUGACAGUGGGCUACAGCUGGAAUUCAGUAGCUCUGUUCCUUAGCGCUCAUGCACAGCCUAUGUAGUUCAAGUGCAAUUGAAAAGAGUGCUGGCAGCUUUUUCCGAAAAGGAACAUUCUAGCUAUAGAAAAUAAAAUCUGGCAACCCAACCAAUUUUUGGUUUUUACACCAGUAAAAUAAAAUAAAAUCUAGCAAUUGCUUUAGCAGAAGGCGUUAGUUGUUUGUUUGUCUUAGAAAAGCCAGUUUGCAUCACAGUUUCCUAAAGAAGAAUUCCUUCCGCUCCUUUGUGGCUGAGACGCCUGAGUUCUAAGAUGAAGGUACCAAGUAGACAGGAAAAUGACAGCCUUUAUCAUCAGAACAUGGCAAGUAAAAGGACAGGAUACAAGCCCUAAAUGUGAGGCUAGGGGAAUGACCCGGAGCUGCCAUUGUCUAGGUUCCUUUGCAGGCUGUCACCAGCAAAGAGGAAAGAAGAUUUAGCUUGCUAGAAGCCACAGCUUAAGCUGAUAAAAAGUACAUUUGAGUGACAAUUGUCAAAGGUUCCUUAUUCCUCCUCCCAAAAUACCUUGCAACAUUUCAAAAGUGAAAAUACAGCUGUGUGUUUGGUACCACUUUUCACAGUGAGGAUUAUGAGCUGCUUCUCCACCCUCUCGCUGUUACACAUCUCUGAAGACUCUCCUUUGCCUCUUGCUCAUUGACGAUGCAGUAACUUGUCCUGUGCUCACUCUUGAAACAAGCUGCCUAUGACACUUUGCCUUAAAAAAAUGCAGUGAUUUUUAUUAACAUAUUUCAUCUUGCAACGGAUUUGUCUGUACAUGCUGUCAAUCCGUGCACCUCAACUGCAGUCAGCAACAUGGACUGGAGGUACAUUUUAAGGGAUGGACAAGAAGCCGUGGACCAGCCCUGCCUCUGCCCAUGUACCAACUUUAGGGUGUAUUUGACCCUCCUACUUGGCUCUGGAAACCAAAGAAUGGCAACCCCUUGCAACAUGGUUGUUUCUUCAUAGGAGCCUCCAAAACCUCUUCAGAAAACAGAAUAGGGACAAUGAUUUAGGAGGGUCAGUCACCAGAAAUCGGGGACUACCUCAGUACAGGCAAAAAGGUGUUAUGUACUAAGCUUGGAUCCUAGAACAAUAGGCAGGUGGGAUCCUAGAAUGCAAGAAGUGAUUGGCUUGCAGGAGAAGACCAAUCAGGCUCCAGGAGGAAGUUAAUCAGCCAAUCAGAUGAGACUCAUUGUGUAAAUAAUGUAUAUAAAAGCCUGAGGUUUGGGGGGAAAUUCAAUCACUGUUUUACAAGCUGCAAUAAAGAGCAUGAAAUCACUGCAGGACUUCAAGUAUAUUUGGGUUAUCCUUUCAAGUCAUCAAAGCACUUCAAGUGCAUUAUCUUGCUGUAGUCCUUACAACCGGGAUGGUGGUAUUUUUAUCUAUUUAUUUUAAUUUUUGUCAUGCAGCUGCACUAGGGUUUCCAGCCUUAGAGCCAGACAACAAGUUUGGAAAGUGCCAAAGUGAGCAGGAGCACAAUGUAGCCAGUCUGGAGAGAGGAGCCUCUAGCAACAGCCAGUGGCUCUGCUCCAAAGCACAUCUGUGAAGGGGAAGGAAGAGCAGGUGAAGGUGUGUGAAUUAAAAAGAGAGCAAGAGGCACAGAGAGAUCAGGCCAUCUGGGGGCAGUGCUUAGAAACACUUUGGUGUGCUUCUGUUUGGGGAGAGAAAGUGCUGGGGGGAGUCUCGAGAAAGGAAGUGGCGGGGAGAGAAAGGGCAGUUCACAAUGUCAAAAUACAAGAUGAAAACACAAAAAACAUAAUAAAAACAAAAGAACACAAACCAAUAACACCCCCCUUCCCCACAGAAGGUUGAAAAGAUCUGCGGUGAAGGCUUGGUGGUGUCCACCCCAAGGUGCCGAUGUGUUUGUGUGUUUGUACACCUUCAUCCACAAUUCAGUUUUCAAUUUUAUACCUCCCAAAUCUAUUUUGAUGUUGCUUGUCCACCCUGUUGGGUGGUGCUCUAUGGAACGGAUUUGCGCCGGGUGUUUUCGCUUCUCUUUUCAACUUGGGCUUUCCCACCUAUCACACAUUUUGGAAACCUGAGGUCUGGUGUGGCCAUGUGUGCAGGUAUUUGCCUGUGCCCCAUUAAAAAAAAAAUAUUAUUGAAUAUACACACACCAGAUUUGCAGAAUUAUUUUUUCAAUACAGUGGUACCUCGGGUUAAGAACUUAAUUCGUUCUGGAGGUCCGUUCUUAACCUGAAACUGUUCUUAACCCGAGGUACCACUUUAGCUAAUAGGGCCUCCCGCAGCCACUGCACGAUUUCUGUUCUCAUCCUGAAGCAAAGUUCUUAACCCGAGGUACUAUUUCUGGGUUAGCGGAGUCUGUAACCUGAAGCGUCUGUAACCCGAGGUACCACUGUAAUUGCAGAAUUAUUUUUUUAAAAUUGGUUUGUCCUUUCUAAGCUAGCAAAGGAUUUGGAGUUGCUCACAUGGAAGACUUCAGUUUCCUUCCUCCCCCUUUAUUUUCCUGCCUCCUCACAUUUUACUUUUAAUACUGCUCUUUUGUGGAAGAGCACUUUUGCACAAAAGAGUUCUCUUAAAAAUAAAAAUACCACGGAUCUGCCUUCAGCAACAACCAGGCUGAAUCCUUUUAUUUGGGCUGAUGGAAACCAAAAUGGAUCGUAGCAGGUGUGGCAAUACAUGGUAUUCACCCAUUGGAGAAAAUAUGCCAUUUUAUAUUGCCUUUUCUUCCUUUAUUGGAUUAUUGGAAAAUUUGAAAAAUACAAAUUUAGUGAAGGGAAAGUACAGACUGCUACUUGGAUGAGAGGAUGUUGUGUAGACACAGGAACAAGGGAUAAAGAAGAAGCACUUCAAAUUCACAUCAUUUUAUUUAUUUAUUUUAUUACAUUUCUAUACAGUGGUACCGCUGGUUGCCAACGGGAUCCGUUCCGGAGGCUCAUUUGCAACAUGAAAAGCCCACAACCUGAAGCGCCAUAUCUGCGCAGGUGCGUGGCAUGAUUUGGCGCUUGUGUGCAUGCGCGAAGCAUGAUUUAGCACUACUGCGCAUGCACGAGGCACGAAACCCGGAAGUAACCCUUUCCGGUACUUCCAGGUCACCGCAGGACGCAACCUGAAAAAAAUAACAUGAAGCAAACGUAACAUGAGGUAUGACUGUACUGCCCUUCAGCCAAGAUCACAGGGAAGUUUACAAUAUAAAAACACAAAAAUAUGCAGCAUAAUAACAAACAAAAACAACAUCCCGCCCCACAGUUUAAAAAGCCAGUAAAAAUGUUAAUGUUAUUUUAUGUUAUUUAUAUUUAUGUGGUCUAAAUGUUUAGGUUUUGUUGGUUGUAACUUUUAUGGUCAUUAUCUAAUUUCCAAUAUCUUUUUAUUGCUGUAUAUUUUUUCUUCUUCUGUUUUGUUGUUGUUGUCCUGAUGUAUCAAUAAAAUCAUUAAAAAAAAAAGCCAGUUGCAGUUGGCAUCAACCUGUCUUGAGGGACAAUGGAGUGCAUCUCUGGGGGUGAAAUCAAACCGCUGCCUUAGCAGCAACGGAGUGACUUCCCCAGGGUGCAAGCCUGGGGUAUGGAGUGUACUGACAUGGUGCAAAGGAAAACAGAGCAAGACAUUUGAUAUUAGCUUGGCAGCAGGAGUUCCUAGAAGGACCCUACUCUACACAAGGCCUCAGGGACUCUACUCCAGAUUUGUGUAGGGUUAGGAGCCACAGCCCUUAAUUUGGGGACAUUUGGGACAAGAUGCACACUCCCAGUCCCUUCCCUGUGUAAAUGCCCCAUGUUUCUGAUGGAAACAGCUAGCUCUGUUUGCAAUUCCCUGUGAGCAUGUGAGGGUCAGGCCUGUCCUCUGGAGCUGUCUUGCUACCAGCCUCUGACUCAGAGGUCAAGUUCCAUAUGGCCAUAGCACUGCAACAACAGCCUUUGCUUUGUCGGACUCAUAGUUGUCAACUUUCCCCUUUUUUAAAGGGAAAUUCCCUUACUCCGAAUAGGAUUCCUCACAAGAAAAGGGAAAGCUAUGGUCGGACUAUGACAAAAGCUGUCUCUGUCUAUGGCUGGAGACAGAUCACACAAUUUCCAGUGCUGAAAGUGUGACAGAAUCACCAUUGCUCAUGGUGUGUCCCAUUGCAGUUUUUUCAAAAAUCUUCUUGACAUAAAUAAGCAAGCAAGCAAGGGCAACGGUGCUUUUGUCAUUCCACUUUAAAAUCCCUUAAAAAGAAUCUUCUGUCUUCAACCUUCACCAGGUUUGAGAGGCACAAUCACCUCAGCAGUGUAAGAAUGACAACACCAGCCUCUCCAUUCUGUAGGCACUGCCACAAAGAACACAAAUGUGGAUAUGGUCAUUCCUGCUCCUGCCUGCUCUUGUUUGCUGAGAUCAGCUUUGUUCUCCAUACUGAAUUACAAUCAGAAAGAAAUGGAGUCUGUUUAUUCUGGUAAACUAAGGAAGAUGCUACACUUGCAAGUUGUACAAAAGAGCCUCGGCACCCCAAAACCAACUUUUGGAUGCAAAGACACACAGCAGCCCUUAUUAUGGGAUUGCCAAUCUGUUCACUCCUUUUUACAGAAAAUCCAGAUUAUGCCAUUGCCAUGUAGUUGCAUUCCAUUGUUUUCUGAGUUGUCCUCCUCUGUUUUCUCUCUCUCCAGACCUGCUAUGUAUCAGGGAAGUGGAAAGAAAGCAAUAAAAUGGCAGCCCUGUUUACUGAGACUUUUAAUGGCUAUUGUGCCUUAAAUUAGCUUCUGCCCCUGCUAUUCCUUCCUGUUCGGCAUAGCUUGGACAGUAGUGAAGAAUUGCCCCUUAAUUAAUCAGUUCCAGGAGGGAGUGAUUCCUCCCCCCUUUUAUAGUGAAAUAGUACUACAGUAUGCUAUUGUAAAAGAAAAGAAAGUUAAAUAAAUAGCACACAGGAUGCAACAAUGGGGUCCCUGAAUUCACCUUUUCCCUGCCUCCUUUAUUUUAUUAUAUUAUUUACAAUAAUGUAUAUCCCACAAACCAAUAAACAGACAGCAAUAAACCAAUAAAUGUGCUAAGGAAAUGUGCUGAAAGAGAAAGGCAUUCAGUUGGCAUGGAAAAAGCCCGUACAGAAUAGAGGCUCACCAAGGUUCAGAGGGCAGAGCCUUCUGCAGCCUGAGAAGACCCUCGGAUGAGCCAUCCAUUUCCGGACCUUUGCCAGUGAUGGGUACCCUCACAUGUUCCUCCACAGCUGACCUCAGAUCCUGGGCAGGAUUGUGUGGGGAGUUGUGUUCUUUCAGUUACCCAGGUCACAAGCCAUUUAGGGCUUUUGAACAUUGGGCUGCCCACAGAUAUGCAUGUUGUUUUGGGGGAAAGCAAAGCACUUCGCUUGAGGACUGAGGGUAAAACCUUCCUUCUGUGCUUGAUGGUAACCAGGAUUCCAUAGGUGCUUCAGUGGUGGUGGUGCUGGGGCGGAGCACUGCACUACUUGUAUGCAGGGCUUUUUUUUCAGCUGGAGCUCACCAGAGCUCAGACCUGGCACCUCUCAGGUGGGCACCAUUGCCAUUCUACGUAAGAGAGCAAGGGAGAAGUUCAUGGUGAGCUCUGGCACCUCUUUUUUCUAGAAAAACAGCACAGCUUGUAAGUCUUUGUGACAUACAAGCUCAUUUUCCACACACCUAACAUCCAACACAAUGACAGACAUUUUGCUAGGAUAUAAUAAAAAGUAAAGAAAUUCAAGAAAGCUCAGAAGCUCAAUGAAGCAUGAGAUAAGAGCCACAUUCACUCUCAGUUCUGAUAUAAUGUACCUUGACUUUAGUGAGACUCUUGACACAGUUCCCUAUGACAGUCUCAUAAGUAAACUCAAGAAGAAACUGCCAUCACGUUGGGUACACAAUUUCUUGAUAAUUCACACUAACAGAGCAAUUAUGGCUGGAUCAGUGUCAAAGAAGAAGGCUAUAUGAAGGCAAUCCUGGGUCUAGAUCUGCUUGACAUUUUUAUUAAUGACUUGAGCUGAAGCAUUAGAGAAUAUGUGUAUAAAAUUUUUGGACAGAAAAAGUGGAAGGGAGAGCAAUGCCCUUUCGAGGACAUGAUUAGCAUAAAAAAAAAAAUACUCUUGAUACAUUCAAGGGUUUAUAUAACGAUGCAGAAAAGAAUUAGCCUAGUCCUGACAAAUGGAAAGUUUUAUACCUAGAAAAGAAAGGGGAAAAGUGAGUGUGCCUGUAAUCCAGUGAGUGUGCCUGUGGGUUGAGGAUGCUGUUCAGCCACUCUUCUUCACUGGCAGAGAGGGGAGCACCGCUGUGGUGGAGAGGCCUCAUAGUUGCCCAAAUGGGUGAUAAGCUUCUGCCAGUGGUCCCUCUUCCAGCAGAAGCCCUGAAGUAGGGCAUUUCAGGGUGGGAUUGGAGGUCAGGGUGCCAGAAGCUUUGAUUGCAUGAUCUCCUAACAGGCCUGAUCUUCAAGCCUCUCAGGUGCAACAGCUUGGAGCAGGUGCAGCAGAAAAUGAAAGAAACAUCCUCACCACUCACACCUUCUGCCCUGGUAUGUAAAGGUAAAGGGACCCCUGACCAUUAGGUCUAGUCGUGACCGACUCUGGGGUUGCAGUGCUCAUCUCGCUUUAUUGGCCGAGGGAGCCGGCGUACAGCUUCCGGGUCAUGUGGCCAGCAUGACUAAGCUGCUUCUGGCGAACCAGAGCAGUGCACGGAAAUGCCGUUUACCUUCCCGCCAGAGCGAUACCUAUUUAUCUACUUGCACUUUGAGGUGCUUUCGAACUGCUAGGUUGGCAGGAGCAGGGACCGAGCAAUGGGAGCUCAUCCCGUCGUGGGGAUUCGAACCGCCGACCUUCUGAUCGGCAAGUCCUAGGCUCAGUGGUUUAACCCACAGUGCCACCAACGUCCCUCUGCCCUGGUAAGCAAGAGCAAAAAGAUCUUUGGAUGUGGCAGAGAAUCCGCUGCGCUGUACAUCCGUGGCCCCAUUAGGAUUCUUCUACCUGUCAAAAACAGGGUGAGAUUAACCAAAGGCAAUGAAAAUGUCUGAAAAUAGAGCUGUGCGUAAACAGUGCCAUAAAAAAAAAUAUGCCACUUAAAAAGACAUCAGUUGUUAUCCCAGUACGCAUUAUCAGAACUUAAGAGUUCUGGCUAGAAUGUUUGGAUUAAAACCUGGCAGGUCAGGGUUCAAAUUCAUACUCACGUAUGAAGCUCACUGGGUGACCCUGGGCCAGUCACUGCCUCCCAGCCUAACCUACCUCACAGGUUUGUUGUGAGGAUAAAAUAGGCAGUGGGAAAACCGCAUUUGCCACCUUGAGCUCAUUGGAAGAAAGCUGGGAUAUAUAUGUAAUAAUAAUAAGAGUAUUGUUGCUCUUUCUCGAGUGCGAGAACCAAGGCCAGUGAGAACAGAGAACUGGUGGAGCCAGAGGAACAAAUCUGAGAAUUGACAAGAUGGAGAAAAUCUAAUUUAAUGCCAACCCCACUCCAUUCCCCAAAGGCACGGGGGUAGUAGAAAAGCAAAGGAACUAGGAAAAGGGUGGAAGGGAAGCCAUAUGGUAUAUGUAUACAUGUUGUAUUUGGUACAAAGUUGUAAAUGGGACAGGGGGAGGGGAGGGGGUUAAAUAUGCUCUCUUUUCCUGUUUUUGAAAAUGCAAAUUAAAAAAAAGAAAUGGAAAAAGAAAAAAAGAAAAGAAAAAAGUUCCCCCCUGAUUUUGUGGGUUGAAAAUCUCAUAUAUCCUAGCCUUCCCAUACCACAGGUAUCUAUGUCACCCAAAUUUUAGAUUGUGCCCUUCAAGAUCUAACAAGUGGCUGUUCUUCAGUAGAAUCCAUUCUUUCAACCAAGAUAAACAUGAUGCGUCAAAAUAUAAUAGUAAGUCAGGGAGAGCAAAACCACCUCCCUCUUUGGUAUUGAUCAUAAUUUUAUGUUUUAUCCUGGGUUUUCUCCCCUGCCAAAUAAACCUAGAUAGAUCUUUCUGCCAUUCCUUGAAAUUUCAAAUGUCAUUAACUAUAGGAACUGUCUGGAAAAGGAAUAGCAUUUUGGGGAGUGUGUUCAUUUUUUAUAGCCGAGAUUUUGCCCAGCAGAGGCAGUUGCAUUUUACUCCAUAUUUGCAGGCCUUUAUUUAUUUAUUUCCAAACCUUUACAUGGUUAUCAUUAAAGAGGUUAUGCUUGUUUGCUGUUAACUCUAGAGGUGUCAUCCUCUCAGAAGGCCAACAAGGUGCCUCAUACAGCUACCUUGGGGGUGGCAGGAGGGGAAGCCUCCACCUCUCUCAUGCUGAGGCCAAGACAAGGAGAUCUGAGGGCUGAACAAGUGCAGGCCUAAAAUGUCUCCUCAGAAGGAAGUGCCAUUGCACUGGAAGGGCAUAGGCUCAAUGGAGACAUCUCUAAGGUGUCCUUCAUCCCUAACCUCUCCUCCUCUCCAGUUUCAUUCUCUGCUUCUUCUAAGGAAGCUUCUAUUUGUUGCUCCUUUUGUGGGAAGUCCCUCCUGCAGCCCCAGGCCCUCCCCACAUCUGCCGGUACCCAUUUUAAGAUCACACUAGCAAUUCCCUUCCUAUCCUUGCACAGAGUGUCUCCCUGAAUGUUCUUCAAGGGUCUAUUCCAGGCUUCCUCAACCUCGGCCCUCCAGGUGUUUUUGGCCUACAACUCCCAUGAUCCCUAGCUAGCAGGAUCAGUGGCCAGGGAUGAUGGGUAUUGUAGUCUCAAAACAUCUGGAGGACCGAAGUUGAGGAUGCCUGGUCUACUCUCACUGCCCCCUUUGCUCCUGGAAUCUGCUUCAGCUGCUGCAUUGCAUUUUAUGUGGCUUUCUCAACUAGCCUCUCUCUCCAGGAUUAGUUUGUCGCAAUCUUUUGCUCUGCUUUAACUAAUAGUCUCUGAUAGUACUGCACAUUCCACCUAAACGCCUCUCCCAUAACACUGUGAAUUGCAGUGUCCUUAGCUGGUGAAAUAGAGAUUUCUCUUUUUCCUCCUGUUCAAAACGCCUCCCCCUUUUGCAUUUUCCUCCUUCGGCUGCUGCAUUCUCCCACAGGGUGUUAUAUUGUCCCCAUUUUUAAUCUGUAACUCACCAUCACCAGGAGUGUGUUUGGGUAAAAGAAACAGAAUGGUGAGGAAGCCAAACAGGUCUGGCAAGCCAAGUUGCUUGAAGAGGACUCGUCGUGCAGGUUACUGUGAGUAGCUCAGCUAACAUCUGCUGGGCUGUUGCUGCCCUGCUUGCUGCUUGCCCCAGCUGCACAAGGUAAUGAGGGGCUGCACCUUUUACUGUCGCUUGUGGUUGUUAAGGAUUAACAGAGAUUCAAAAGGGACAGAAGACAUCAUCCAGUCACUCUGUGCGGGAGAAUGUUUGUUCAGUUAUUUUAUCUAUGCUGAAGAAUUGGAGCAAGCAGGGUUCCCACUUUCAAAACAAGGCUGGGGCGAACCAAUCAUUUUGUUACCACUCCAUUCUGUCAUUUCAAACUACCACCUUGAACUGCAAGGGCAGGGGACUAAAUACCAAAAACAAAUUGACACAGAAAUUAAAUAAGUUCCAGAGGGAAAUAAAAGAGAGGUUGAGGAAAAUAAUCAGCAGAAGCUAGAUUUUUCUCUACUUUUCUUUGAGGAGGUUCUAGCACUGGCCCGGCCCUAUUGUGAGCCACGAUGAGCCACAUGGCAUAGCUGUCAACUUUUCCCUUUUCUUGUGAGGAAUCCUAUUCAGAAUAAGGGAUUUUCCCUUAAAAAGGGGAAACGUUGACAGCUAUGCCACAUGGCUCAGAGAUGGACAGCAGAUUAUGACCUCUGCACCUGCUGCCUGCCAGUCCACCCUUCACUACUACGGUUGUGACUACUACUGCUCACAACACUCCUCUGUUGCUUCCUUCCUUCCUUCCUUCCAUCCCAACCUGAGUCUGAAGAGGUCUUGCCAUCCUUUGGAGUUGACCUAAACCAGGGGUUGCCAACCUUUCUGAGACAGUGGGCACAUUUGGAAUUCUGAGCAAGUUCCAUGGGCGCUAGUUACAAAAAGGCUGCUGUUCACAAAAUGGCAGCCACAUCUGAAGGAGCAUAAAAAGAGGCACAACCGCCCCCCCAAUGGGGAAAAGGCACCUCCAUCAGCCACAGCUGAUCUUGCUCACAGACACCUUUGCACCUUUCCUGUGUUAACCAGAGAAAGUGGGUGUCCAGUAGGAAUGGUGCAGAAUUUCCUGUGAGCCAGAUCUGCAGGACCUAAUUGAAUAGUUGGAAACAGACACCUGACUUGGUUUUGUUUUCAACUGUGGGUUUAACAGUAAAUCAUGAUGGUAGUUCUUGGUUCAGUCCCUGACUGCUGUGUCAUUUCAAUGCAAAUGAAGUAGCUAAUAGCCCAUCAAUUAGCCAUCUCCCCACAGGAACUCUUUUGGGACUGGGGAGCUUGACACCUAGGAGUAAGACUGGUUUAUGCCUAUUCAAAGUAAGUCCUGCAGAAUUCAGAUGGGCUUUCUCCCUAGUAAACAUUUAAAACAUAACAUUCUUAAUGUUUGCAAGGCUGUCCCACAUUGUUUCUGAACCAUCAAGGAGAUGCACCAAUGGAAGAACACAGAACUAUUUAUGGCAAGUGUUCCUGGGUAGUUCAAUAGGAUAUUGUCUGCUAGAGGGGGGAGGGGUGGCAUUAUUAAUCCGGGAAGAUUGUCCUUUCAGGGCUCUACCAUCGCCAUCGAUCCCCGGCAUUGAAUGUGUUGGCCUAGUGUGGGGCUCUGAGGUGAGCUUGGCUGUCUGGCUGGUGUACCGGCCACCUAGCGCACCAGCAGACACCCUGUCAGGCCUGCUGGAGGCGGUGGCCGGCUGGGCCUUGGAGUUCCCUAACCUAUUGGUAUUGGGGGACUUCAACAUCCAUGCUGAUGCCACUCCCUCCUCACAGGCUCUGGACCUGGUGUCUUCCAUGGCAACACUAGGGCUCUCCCAGUUUGUUUCAGGCCCCACACAUCAAGCAGGCCACACGCUGGAUUUGAUCUUUGGCGUAGGUAUAGAUGUGAUCAUGUCUCCUUCAAUUAAGGUGCCAUGGUCUGAUCACUACGCUCUGAAAGCCAGGAUUGACUUUCCACCCCCACCCUGCUUAGGUGGCGAGCCGAUUUGGGCUCGCCCGCAGAGGCUGAUGGACCCUGAUAGAUUCCGUCAAGCCUUGCGGGACCUUGCCCCCCCUGGCGACUCAGGGACCGAGCUGGUUGCGGGCUGGAAGACCCCGCUCCUGGCCCCCAGCGAUGAGCUCGCACCGACGCGCCCUCAGCGACUCCGCAGAAACCGGGCUCCUGGUUUACCGAGGAGCUUCGGAAAAUGAAGCGGACCUCAGACGGCUAGAGCGAGUAUGGCGGGGUGCCCGUGACGGAGCCUCAAGAACAUCUUAUAGGGUCUUUAUGAAAACCUAUGAGAUGGCGGUGAAGGCCGCUAAGAAGUCUUACUUUCGGCCUCCAUUGCAUCCGCUAGCUCUCGCCCGGCGCAAUUAUUUAGUAUAAUUAGGUCUUUAACGUCCCUUGAAGGACAGCCAAAUUUAAAUAACAAUCUGACACACAGCUGUGAGGCAUUUGCGAGCUUUUUGCGGAGAAGGUCCUGUUGCUCCGCCAUGACCUCCCUGCCAAUUUGGAUACAAUAAAGGAACUGGAGGCCGCUCGACUGUCCUCGGGUCCAGUAUUGGACCACUUUGAUCGGAUAUCCCCAGCCGAUGUGGACAGACUCCUCCGAGCUGGAAAGCCCACCACCUGUCCUCUUGACCCGGGCCCGUCUUGGCUGAUUAGAGCGUGUCCAGACGAGGUGCGGCCCCCCCUGGGAGAUAUCAUCAAUUUGUCCCUUGGCACCGGGAUAUUUCCAGGGGAAUUGAAGGAGGCAGUGGUGCGCCCGCUCUUAAAGAAAACAUCAUUAGAUCCCUUAGAUCUAUCCAAUUACCGCCCGGUUUCGAAUCUUCCAUUCCUGGGUAAGGUGAUUGAGAGAGCGGUUGCUGAACAGCUUGGUAGGUUUCUGGAUGAAACAUCGGCUCUGGAUCCAUUCCAGUCUGGCUUCCGCGCUGGUCAUGGGACCGAGACGGCUCUGGUCGCCCUAACAGAUGAUCUCCGCAGGCAGCUGGAUCGAGGCGGGUCGGGGCUGCUGAUUCUUCUAGACCUGUCAGCAGCCUUCGACAUGGUUGAUCACGAACUCCUGGACCACCGCCUUGCCGACGUGGGGAUCCAGGGCACAGUCCUUCAAUGGCUGCGCUGCUUCUCUCCGGUCGGGGACAGAGGGUGGCGCUUGGGGGCAUUGUCAUCCCGCCACUCCUGGUGUGUGGAGUGCCUCAGGGUGCGAUACUCUCCCCGAUGCUUUUAACAUCUUUAUGCGCCCGCCCAGCUUGUCCGGAGUUUUGGGCUGGGUUGCCAUCAGUAUGCCGAUGACACCCAACUCUAUCUGUUGAUGGAUGGCCAUCCUGACUCGGCCCCAGACACACUGACCAGAUGUUUGGAAGCUGUGGCUGGAUGGUUACGCGGAAGCCGGUUGAAGUUAAAUCCUUCAAGACAGAGGUCCUCUGGCUGGGACGGGACGAUAUGGGAUUGGGGGCAACUCCCAUCUCUUGCGGGGUGCAAUUAGUGCCAGCACCGUCCGUUAAGAGUUUGGGUGUAAUCUUCGAUACCUUCCUCUCUAUGGAGGCGCAGAUUACAGCUAUAACAAAGGCGGCAUUUUUUCAUCUCCGCCAAGCUAAGCAGUUGGCCCCUUAUCUCUCUCGCCCUGACCUAGCCACUGUGAUCCACGCGACGGUCACCUCCAGACUGGAUUAUUGUAACUCGCUCUACGUGGGGCUGCCCUUGAGACUGACCCAGAAACUCCAGCGGGUGCAGAAUGCCGCGGCGAGACUCCUUAUGGGGUCUUCGCUGCGAGAUCACAUUCAUCCGGUACUAUACCAGCUGCACUGGCUCCCGGUGGAGUACAGGAUCAGGUUUAAGGUGCUGGUUUUAACCUUUAAAGCCCUAUACGGCCUAGGACCCUCGUACCUACGGGACCGCCUCUCCUGGUAUGCCCCACAGAGGAACCUACGGUCUGCAAAUAAAAACAUCCUGAAGGUCCCAGGCCUCAGAGAGGUUAGGCUGGCCUCAACUAGAGCCAGGGCUUUCGGCUGCGGCUCCAAUCUGGUGGAACGCUCUGUCACAAGAGACUAGGGCCCUGCGGGACCUGACAUCUUUCCGCAGGGCCUGCAAGACAGAGUUGUUCCACCAGGCCUUUGGUCAGGGCCCAGCCUGACUCCCACCUCCGGCAACCUGCACAGAACUUUGCUUAACGGUUGCCAUUAAUUUGAUUUUAAUUAAUUUUAUAAUGAAAUGUUUUAGAAUGUUGAUUAUUUGAUUGUUUGAUUAUUUGUUUGUUGUUAGCCGCCCUGAGCCUGGCUUUGGCUGGGGAGGGCGGGAUAUAAAUAAAAUUUAUUAUUAUUAUUAUUAUUAUUAACUAGAGCCAUCAAAAGCGAAGAGUGCUCCCUGACAUUCCAGUGGUGAAGUCUGCCCUCCUGGCUACCCACCCACUGUGUAAUAACUGUUUACCAAAGUUGGAGGUUCAUAAAUUCCUUAAGCUGGAAUGUAGGCUGUUUUCUCUAGACUGACAGUGCAAUCAUAUGCAGUUCUACUCAGAAGUAAGUUCCAUUAGGAUCCAUUGGAUUUAUUCCCAGAUAGGUCUGUGUACAGUUGCAGCACUGAUAAGAUUAUAUCGUGCAAGGUCCAAAGAAGAUUUGGUUGCACCAAGUGGCACAGUCCAGGAUGCAAGUGGCCACCAUCCCUUUGGAAAUACACUUUGGCAAAGAGAGGAGAAGACAGACAGCAGCACCUAGUGGGCAGCCAUGGGAAUAGCUGGGGGGAAGGUGGGAGGGGGUAGCUGCACCCCCAGUCAAGUAAAUCAAUAAAAAAUAGUUUUGUAAUUAAGGGAUGUCCUGGUCAAUUUGGGACAGUUGAGCAGUAUGGAAUGGAAGAGCAAUGGAAUAGGGUAGGGGGAAGAGACCUUUCUUUAACCAACACACAUUAGGACAGAAACCGACAACCGAUUCCAUCUCUAGCGUCCAUUCCUGUCAUCAAACAUGGGGAUGUCCACACUUCUGAUUGUCCUCCACUUCCCUGCCCCAUGGGAAAACCUGCUCUUCACUGCUGAAUCAGAGCAAAUGUCAGUCGGGUUUUUCAUGGAUUGACAUUUGCUCCAAUUCAGCAGUAAAGAGCAGCUCUGCCUGGGGAAAGUGCCAGGGCAAACGGAAAUCACUCAGCCCCAUGCUUUCUAGGCAUGGGGCAAGUGGAUGGGUGGACAAUCCCUGAGCCAGGGCACAGACAGAGGGGGAUGAGCAAACAGGAUAUGCUGGAUUUUGAAGGGAUUGUUUAUGAAGACUUUUCAUGGGAGCCAUCCUGGUGGCGACAGGUGCCUUGUUGGCAACCCCUGGUCUAGACUCUCAAGAAGCCCACUCCCCCACUUAACUUCCAAGGCCCACCCCUCACUGUGAGGAUGGAUUCUCCAAUGUGAGGAUGGAUUCUCCAAUCCCACUUCAUUUUGUUUCCAGGUCAGACAGAGAUUUGCCUUAUUAGCUCAGGAACUGUGGGCAAAUGGGCAGCUCUGUCCUGAGGUUGCCACUGUCCCUGAAGGUAAGGAGAGAAAGGCUGAACCCAAGUUGACUCCUCCCUUAUGAACUGAGACUCUGGAUUUUGCACUCUUGCUUCUUGCAGCUUCCUUGAACUGCUGCUGUUGCCUUUUGGCUGGGAGCUUGGAACAAAGUAUUUGUGAAAUUAAUUAAGACAACAGAGGCCUGAAGAAAGCAAAAGUUAAUUAGUUACGGCAAUCAGUUAGAUUUGAUCCAAAGGAACAAACAAAGUGUUAGAAGCGUGUCACUAGUGGGCUGCUUCUCUGGAAAAGGGAUUAUGCGGAGAUUUCCACCAAAGGGGGAUGGCUUUGUACUCCUGCUCCUUGUGUAAUUGGGGAUUUAGAAGCAGCACAAAGAGUCAUUACCACAAAAUUUCUUUGUAAGAGAAAAAAGUUGACAUUUAUGAAGCACAGGAGGGAACAGCAAAACAAGGCAAAUCAAUAGGCAUGUACAUCAGCAAGAGGCCACUUGGAGGAAGGCAAGGGAUGUGGGGAGAGCAGUGCUCUGCCUGCUCUUGGAUGUGCAUUAGAGGAAGGUAAGGGACACAGGAUGUUGCUCCCCACAGCAGGGCCCAGGGCACCUGGAAAAAACAAUCCAUUGUGCACAGAAAGGGUUUGCGAGAGCAAGCUGGGCCGUCUGCCUCAAUGCCAUUGAAUCUGGAGAGAUGGACGAAGAGCAUCUCUCCUUCACCUCUGCUUUAUGCUGUUUGUUUCUCUGCCUGAUAAUAAGAAGAACUGAAGGGGCUGUAUUCUUGCUAGCAGUGAACAGUGAGAGGGAAGAGCAGGCUCCAUAAAAAUAAAACAGACCAAGCUGGCUCCUAAAAAGUGGCUAUCAUGAAGUACACACAAAAAGACUGAAGAAAAUGUCUACUCUGUGAAGAAAUGGGUCAGAUUUGUUCCACUGCAAGACUAGAAGAGUGUGCAAAAUGCAUAACUGUUUCAAGAUGAUCUGCAGAAAGUUUUCACAAAUUCUGAGUGCCAACUUUGCAACAGGCAGCUGUAGAUAUGUAGCUAGUAACAGAUUGACCUUAGCAGAUGGAAUGCCGUACAGUACUUCAGAAAGCUUCCCCAGUUGGUUCUUGCUCAUCAAGCUGCUGGCAGGUAAGUUCCACCUCUCCCCACACAUCCGUUGGCUGCCCUGUAACAAAUACAGGGUUAAAGGGCCCCUCUGCAAUAUUGUUCAUUCAAUAAUGUUUCUGGGUGUACAAAGAUCAGGAGGGGGUAUCUGUGCAACAGUGCACUUAGCUGCAAAGCUAGCGAGGCUUGAGUCAUUGCAAGCUACCGUAUUUUUCGCUCUAUAACACACACCCGACCAUAACACGCACGUAGUUUUGAGAGGAGGAAAAUCCGUAGGCAUGCCACCCGUAGGCAUUCCCUCCAUAACACGCACAGACAUUUCCCCUUACUUUUUAGGAGGAAAAAAGUGAGUGUUAUGGUGCAAAAAAUACGGUAUUUGUUAUCAUACAUCUAGCAAAAAUGAGCUUGGCAGGGGGUAGAUCUAGUGAGACCUCUUUGCAGCCCCAUUGCAAAUCCAGACUUCCAGUCCCAUUCAGCACUAAACCCAUUGCCACAGAAUGACAGAGCGAAGGACCAAACUUCCUUCUCCAAAUUUGGUGCUGCCCUGAUUUCCCUCAAUCAAGCAUAGCCUGAGAAGGAGAUGAGCCACACUUUCCUAACAUUUCCCCAAGCAGAAGCUGCACUCUCAGUUUGGGAAGGAGAAAGCAAUGAACUUCUCAAGCUCUGUUCCUUUUUUUCCUUUUUAAAAAGAUGAGAGUAUUGGAAAUACACCAUUUCCCCUCUUCCAGUCUCGGAGCUGCUCUCAGAAAGGAGACGGGUGGGCAUUGAUCCUCCUCAAUGUCCCCAUCAGAGGUGGCAUGACUACUCAUUUAAGGAUGGUGGAAGAUUUGCUCCCAUAACAAGUACAGCAGAUUCACAUGUGAGCAGAAGAAAUUCCAUUGUUGUUUAUUUACGUACAUACUUUGCAUAGCGUGGCAUUGCACUGCAUUACAUACACUGACUUUUCUCACCACAUAUCAGGUACCUGAUGGUGGCUGAUAAGAAAACCUAAAAUCAUAGCAUACCACAUUUAAAAUUCCAUAGAAUUGCAAUAAAACAAAAUUAAUUGGCUAUAUGCAUGUAGUUAUUGAAGAUCAAACCUCUCCAUUCUUAAGGAAAUCAGCCCUGAGUGCUCACUGGAAGGACAGAUCCUGAAGCUGAGGCUCCAAUACUUUGGCCACCUCAUGAGAAGAGAAGACUCCCUGGAAAAGACCCUGAUGUUGGGAAAGAUUGAGGGCACAAGGAGAAGGGGACGACAGAGGACGAGAUGGUGGGACAAAAAAAUGUAGUUAAAUAAUAUACAUAUAAAAAGAUAUAAACAAUAAAACCCAUCUGGUAACACAACACAAGCAACCAUCCUUCUCAAAAGCGACAGUGAUGGGGCGGGGCGCAACAUUGCACAUGUGAUGUCAGGAUACCAGAUGGAACCGGGGGCGGAGCCAAGCACAGCAGCCACAUGGCUUUAAUGGCUGGCGGCUCCUUUUCUGCCACCACUGGCGGGGAGCUGCUUCAACCCUGCUUCCCCUCUGCAGCAGCAGCAGCAGGAGAAGAAGGAACCAGCCACUAGAGUCAUGCUCAGCUCAAUGCUUCGCCUCCACACUUUUUGGACACUGGGAGGCUGCAACCCACCCCCCAAAAUAUUGUCUCCGAAAGGGCACGGUCCCUAGGAGCUGCCGCCUUUGCCUCAAAAGGAAGACCCCCCCCAAAAAAAACUUGGUGGUGAUCUCACGCCUUACUUCAGAAGAUGGAGGGACGUGAAACAGGGAAGAGGCAAAGAGGUGCCCUCUGUGGAAAUGCACACAAAUGCGCACAGUUCUAGCUAUGUUGGGAAAUGGUCUCUGCUGCAGAACUUGCCAACCUGAGAGGUUAUGAAGAAAAAUAAUUACUCUUGUGUGUCUCCUGUUUGUUGCUGGAGAAUUUCCCAAUGGACUGUUUCAAGCGCCAGAACCGCCUGUUCCGCUCUCUCCCACCCUAAAGGGCACCCUGCCGCCUUCUUUUGCUUCCUGGUAGAGGAUGACCCUGCGCAAACUAUCAAAAGCAGACAGCACAAAAGCUUCCUGACCUGCCAGUUGUCACUAAAGGUAAAGGUAAAGGGACCCCUGACCAUUAGGUCCAGUCGUGGCCGACUCUGGGGUUGCGGCGCUCAUCUCACUUUACUGGCCAAGGGAGCCGGCAUACAGUUUCUGGGUCAUGUGGCCAGCAUGACUAAGCCGCUUCUGGCGAACCAGAGCAGCGCACGGAAACGCCGUUUACCUUCCCGCCGGAGUGGUACCUAUUUAUCUACUUGCACUUUGAUGUGCUUUCGAACUGCUAGGUUGGCAGGAGCAGGGACCAAGCAACGGGAGCUCACCCCGUUGCAGGGAUUUGAACCGCCGACCUUCUGAUCAGCAAGUCCUAGGCUCUGUGGUUUAACCCACAGCGCCACCCGCGUCCCCCCAGUUGUCACUAGGAGCUGACAAAAGGCAAACUCUUUGGCAAAGCAGGGUUGGGCCUCUGAGAUGGGAAUGCUGCAGGCAUUGAAGCUACCAUUUUAUGCCUGAGCAUCCUCUGCUAUCUCUGCCUUCUCCGCUGCAGUUAGCAACUUGAAUUAUUUACUCUCCUUACUCCACCUAGCAGUUCUGUUUCCUUCUGAACAGGCAGAAAGCUUUCUGCUAACAGUGCCUGUACCUUGCUCACUAAAGCAAGAACAGAACGAAUCUCCCCCUGGAGGGCAACUGGAAGCAGGAGAGCCUCACUGCCUUGGGACCCCUGGGGGACACGGCUGUGAAACUCAGAGAAUGCAUGAAGGGAUGAAUAUUGAUGACGAAAUCUGGAAAUUACGACCUGUAUAUUCUAAGAUAAAUAUUGGUGGCAUCAGACUCCAUAUAGUUUAACAAAAAUAUAUCAUAUUGUUAUUGAUGUUUUUGGGGAAAUAAUGCAAGCUGGGAGAUUUCCUCCACGUUUGGUGUAGUUGUGAUAAGAUAAGUGAAUUAGCUUGACACAUACAGUAUAAACAAGGUGAUUGGAUAUCCUACAAAAAAAACUUUCAGAUAUUUUGUUAAGUUGUCUCAAAGGCAGUGUUACAUUCCGAACACUCAAAUCUAGUAGGAUACUAUUUAACGGCAGCCCAAAUCCUAAUUGCAUCCAAGUGUCACUCACCCAGUGUUCCGACUGAAAAAAUGUGGCUUAAUAAGAUCUGACAAUUGGCUAAUAAGACCAGACUUUCUGACCUGGAAUGACUGAGGGAGACAAGACAAAAGAGAGAAAAUAUUGAAAGACUAUGGGCUCCUUUUAUUGUCUACAACCAGGAAUUCAAGAUAGAUAUGGGUAUUCCACUGCUGGUGUCCAUAAUAUUAUUCUAUUAGUGCAAUUAUUUUUCUGUAUUAUUUCACAACAUUUAUAGACCACUUGAUAGUGGAAAAGCUCCCCCACCCUGACCACAGAUCAGACAGUCAAAGAAACUACAUCGGGGCCCCUUGAUGCCUAGCCCUGGCCAUUCACUUUUAGUAUCUCUGCUGUUAUAAACAGCACUUCAUUACUGUAAGCUCCACGCCUGUGAUAUAUGAUGGGAAUCUAUCAGAGGCCGGCAGCCUGCAGUUUGAUGGACUGGGCCUUGCUGACAGAUGCUGGUGGGGCCCCCAUCACUCACAGCCAGCACUCAGUCCUGCACUUUUAUUUAUCAUUAAACUCUUGCCAAUAGUUUUUUGUUGUUUUUGUUUUAAUAAAGAGAUUAAAUAAGAAAAUGCAAGGGAGUGGGGUAGGGACUGAAGUGUUUAUGGGGCCUCUCUGACUUGAAUGAAUUUGGGGUUGCCCCAAUGGUAUCGCUUUAAUUUUUUUUUAAAUUAUGCAAGAUACAAAAACACUGCAAGAAAAUAGCAGCUGUGUUGGAAUCCGCACUGUCUGCUCGGUUUGAAGGCUAGACCUGUCCCUCUAUAGCUGCUCUAAUAAUGAACCUCACAGUAAGGUGAUAACUUGAAUUCUACAGCAUUAUAAGCCCCUUUCCUGUCUCAAGACUAGAUGAUUUCUAUCCUUCAUAUACUGGCUUUGAAUUAAUAAAAGAGCUCUCUGUACAUUUCCACUGUGGCUAGGAAUGGCGCGAGCUUGCUCAGCUUUGAAUAGCUUUGUAAUUGUAAAAUAUGGUACCCAUUUCCCAAGAGCUAAUAAAGAACAACUUCUCCUUCUGCCUUCUUUCCAGCUUGCAUGAAUUUCUUCAGAUUGCAAAAUUGAUCAAAACAAUUUUUACUGAAUGUUUCGUUCCCCUGCUCAUUCAAAUAUGUGGCACAUGUUUCAGCCCCAUUCUUAGCAGGAAUGUCAGGGAUGAGCCCGUUCACCUGAUGGCAGAAAACUCCAGCAAAUGCAACAUCCACAUAGAAGGCAAUCAUUUGAAGACCCACUUGAUACAAAAUGGAUAGACUCCUUCCAGACAAGGCACAAGACACCCAAGAAUCCACUUACAAGCCAAUGCAAAUUUCCAGCUGCCCCAAAUGAAUUCAUACCAUCAGAAAAAUCUAAUCAAAAUGCAACAGCAUUGGAUAAAGGAGAGUUUUGUAUCUUUCGAAAUACGGAAACUUUCCAAGUAUGGUUCAGUCAUACACACAUGUAACUUGAUUUAUCUACCUACGACUAUUGGCAAAACUGAAAACGCAUUUGUGCUUGUAGUAUUAUGCAAGUUCAGCUUGAGAACGACAAUGCCCCCUUCACAUGCGCAACCAACCAACAACUCGCAGCACAACCCUAAGGCACAAUUACCGGUACACUAGCUGAGCAGCACACUAGGAAGCAGCAGAAGUAGCUGGUAAGUUAUACUAGCAACAUGACAUAAUGUUGAAAUUUCCCUGCUAAACUGGUGGGAGGUUCCGACAGAGAAGGCAAAAAUGAGGCACGUUGGCAAGGAAAUAUGACCUUAGUCACAAAGCUGGCCGGGUUAGAUAUAUCAAAUUAUAUUUCUCUCCUCGGGAAAUACUGACCCAUCUCAUUCUUGUUUUCUCUUACAGUGGUGCCUCGCAAGACGAAAUUAAUCCGUUCCGCAAGAGUCUUCGUCUAGCGGUUUUUUCGUCUUGCGAAGCAAGCCCAUUGACGGAUUAGCGCUAUUAGCGCUAUCAGCUGUUUAGCGGCUAUUAAAGGCUUAAAGGCUUAGGGGAUUAGCUGCUAAAAGGCUAUUAAAGGCUAUUAAAGGCUUAGCAGAUUAGAUAAAGGGGGAAAGCGAAAAAAAUCUCAAGACUCGCAAGGUAUUUUCGCCUUGCGAAGCAAGCCCAUAGGGGAAUUCGUCCUGCGAAGCAACUUCAAAACGGAAAACCCUUUCGUCUAGCGGUUUUUCCGUCUUGCGAGGCAUUCGUCUUGCGGGGCACCACUGUAUUUAUGAUUCCUGUCAUUCAUUGUCCUUUCUGGACAGAUGCCCCCAAAAUGCAUUAUAGCCUGAGAGGGCCUUAUGACCCUGGGCCUAUCCUGCUGAUUUUAUUAAUUUUUUCAUAACAUUGACACCUCCACUAUCUGGGAAGACUGGCAGGGAUAUUUCAGAAACGAUGGCUGUCCACUGCUGUGCUAAGGUGGCUUUCAAAGCCUCAUUGUGGUCAAAUUUCUCUCUCAAAAACUUCCUCACCGUUUUGUAAUUUACCUAUUUCUGGUCCUCAGUGGUGGAAUUUGAAUUUUUCUGUAUGAACCAGCACAGAUUCCUUUGAUUCCAUAGGGCAGCACCUGACUGAUUUGCUCUUUCUGUAGCAUCCUCCCAUCUAGAGCAGUUGUUUUUAUUGUGCGCAGAGAAACAUGGGGUUCCUCAUCAGGAAGGUCAGAAAUGGCAAGUAUGCUUCCUUGAAAGUCAGUCUGUCCACCAGUACCAGUUCUACUGGGAAAGGGGGUGUCAGAUGUGUCUAGGGUACUUUCUCACUUCACAUAGCAACAGCUCCAACAGUCCUUGGCAACACCUUCAGAGAAAUAAGUGUGCACCCUACAACAUGUCACAAAAUAAGGGUGCUUAGGUUGCGGCUGUUGUCCACUAUAUCUGGCAGGGCUGCAAGAAGAUCACAGGGGCAGGAUGACUGAGUUGCUCAGGGUUUCUUCCUAGCUUCCUCCCUUGCAAAAAUACUGUCGACAAAAAGCAUUGCAGUUGUACAACUAAUCAAACUGAAAAGCAUCUUCCUUUGGUUCAGAAGCAGUUCCUGCAAGUCACAGUUGUUUCAAUACUGGGAGAAAAACUAUGUGACCUCCACCAGGUUUGGUUCUCUCCCUACCAUCUUCCUUUGCAAAGAAACAGUGGACACUUACACAUUACAGGUAUAUAUAUAAUUUUUAUUGGAAUUUUAUUUACAACAUAACAUAAACCCCCACCCCAAUACACAAAUCCACCCUCAUUAAACGUGAACAUAACAUACAAUGAGCAUAACAUACAACAAUACAAACAACCAAAUAAAAGACUUCUUUUAUUCUGUAUCUGGCCUCCUUAUUUUCUUCUUAUUAACUGUUUCCUUUAUGAAUAAUUAUUAAGAUUUUUCUAAGUCCAGGUAUGUAUUUUAGGGCACUGUUUUGUGAAGUAUUCUCUGCAUUUUCCCCAUGCUUUUUGAAACUCUUGUCUGGUGUGACCUCUAAUUGCCUCUGUUAAUCUAGCCAGUUCAAUAUACUCUAACAGUUUGUCUUGCCAUUCCUUUCUUGUUGGCACAGUGUCUUUUUUCCAGUUUUUAGCAAUUAGGAUCCUUGCCGCUCCUGUGGCAUAGAAGAAUAUUUUCUGAUCUUCUCUUGCUAUACCUGUGUCCGUUAUUCCGAGUAGAAAAGCUUCUCUAUUUUUCAUAAACUUAUACUUAAACAUUUACAUUACAGGUAUAUUAAUACUUAGCAAUUACGCGUCUUAUUUUGGCUCUGAAGGCUGCCACGCUGUCACUAUUUCUAAUGUGGGCUCAUGGCACAAUCACUGCAUGUCACUCAGAAGCAAGCACCGCUUGAUGUCCCUUGCAAAGUAUGUGUAGGAUUUCAGCCUGAAUAAUUAGCCUUAAAGAUGCCAUACAGGACCAUGGAUAAGGAAGUCUCCAUUACUGGCCAGACCUAUAGGAAAUGAUGGUUCCCCGAUCUCAUUUUAUUCCCUUCUUUUUUCCCCUAUAAAAUUUUUAUUGGUUUUAACAUACUUUCCAGACAAAACAACCAUCCCAUCUCAUCUUAUACAUUUGUGGCUAUAGUAAGCCUAUGACUUCCAUCAAUCCCUUCUAAUGAUUUUCAAAAUUCAUCUCCUAUUCUUGCAUUUUCUCUCAUAACUAUUGCUUAGUCAUCAAAAUCCUCUAAUCCAUUCUCUUAAAUCUCAUCAACAAUAUUUCUUAUAAUUAUCAUUACAAAACUUCUUGUAUCCCUACUGCUGUUUAGUCGUUUAGUCGUGUCCGACUCUUCGUGACCCCAUGGACCAGAGCACACCAGGCACUCCUGUCUUCCACCGCCUCCCGCAGUUUGGUCAGACUCAUGUUUGUAGCUUCGAGAACACUGUCCAACCAUCUUGUCCUCUGUCGUCCCCUUCUCCUUGUGCCCUCCAUCUUUCCCAACAUCCGGGUCUUUUCCAGGGAGUCUUCUUCUCAUGAGGUGGCCAAAGUAUUGGAGCCUCAACUUCACGAUCUGUCCUUCCAGUGAGCACUCAGGGCUGAUUUCCUUAAGAAUGGAUACGUUUGAUCUUCUUGCAGUCCAUGGGACUCUCAAGAGUCUCCUCCAGCACCAUAAUUCAAAAGCAUCAAUUCUUCGGCGAUCAGCCUUCUUGAUGGUCCAGCUCUCACUUCCAUACAUCACUACUGGGAAAACCAUAGCUUUAACUAUACGGACCUUUGUUGGCAAGGUGAUGUCUCUGCUUUUAAGAUGCUGUCUAGGUUUGCCAUCGCCUUUCUCCCAAGGAGCAGGUGUCUUUUAAUUUUGUGACUGCUGUCACCAUCUGCAGUGAUCAUGGAGCCCAAAAAAGUAAUAUCUCUCACUGCCUCCAUUUCUUCCCCUUCUAUUUGCCAGGAGGUGGUGGGACCAGUGGCCAUGAUCUUCGUUUUUUUGAUGUUGAGCUUCAGACCAUAUUUUGUGCUCUCCUCUUUCACCCUCAUUAAAAGGUUCUUUAAUUCCUCCUCACUUUCUGCCAUCAAGGUUGUGUCAUCUGCAUAUCUGAGGUUGUUGAUAUUUCUUCCGGCGAUCUUAAUUCCGGCUUGGGAUUCAUUCAGUCCUGCCUUUUGCAUGAUGAAUUCUGCAUAUAAGUUAAAUAACCAGGGAGACAGCCUUGCCGUACUCCUUUCCCAAUUUUGAACCAAUCAGUUGUUCCAUAUCCAGUUCUAACUGUAGCUUCAUGUCCCACAUAGAGAUUUCUCAGGAGACAGAUGAGGUGAUCAGGCACUCCCAUUUCUUUAAGAACUUGCCAUAGUUUGCUAUGGUCGAAACAGUCAAAGGCUUUUGCAUAGUCAAUGAAGCAGAAGUAGAUGUCUUUCUGGAACUCUCUAGCUUUCUCCAUAAUCCAGCGCAUGUUUGCAAUUUGGUCUCUGGUUCCCCUGCCCCUUCGAAAUCCAGCUUGCACUUCUGGGAGUUCUCGGUCCACAUACUGCUUAAGCCUGCCUUGUAGAAUUUUAAGCAUAACCUUGCUAGCGUGUGAAAUGAGUGCAAUUGUGCGGUAGUUGGAGCAUUCAUUGGCACUGCCCUUCUUUGGGAUUGGGAUGUAGAUUGAUCUUCUCCAAUCCUCUGGCCACUGCUGAGUUUUCCAAAUUUGCUGGCAUAUUGAGUGUAGCACCUUGACAGCAUCAUCGUUUAAAAUUUUAAAUAGUUCAGCUGGAAUAUCAUCACUUCCACUGGCCUUGUUAUUAGCAGUGCUUUCUAAGGCCCAUUUGACUUCACUCUCCAGGAUGUCUGGCUCAAGGUCAGCAACCACACUACCUGGAGUGUACGAGACAUCCAUUUCUUUCUGGUAUAAUUCCUCUGUGUAUUCUUGCCACCUCUUCUUAAUGUCUUCUGCUUCUGUUAGGUCCUUUCCACUUUUGUCUUUUAUUAUGGUAAUCUUUGUAUGAAAUGUUCCUUUCAUAUCUCCAAUUUUCUUGAACAGAUCUCUGGUUUUUCCCAUUCUAUUGUUUUCCUCUAUUUCUUUGCAUUGCUCGUUUAAGAAGGCCUUCUUGUCUCUCCUUGCUAUUUUUUGGAAAUCUGCAUUCAAUUUCCUGUAUCUUUUACUAUCUCCCUCACAUUUUGCUUGCCUUCUCUCCCCCGCUAUUUGUAAGGCCUCGUUGGACAGCCACUUUGCUUUCUUUCAUUUCCUUUUCAUUGGGAUGGUUUUAGUUGCUGCCUCCUGUAUAAUGUUACGAGCCUCCAUCCAUAGUUCUUCAGGCACUCUGUCCACCAAAUCUAAAUCCUUAAACCUGUUCCUCACUUCCACUGUGUAUUCAUAAGGGAUUUGACUUAGAUUGUAUCUUACCAGCCCAGUGGUUUUUCCUACUUUCUUCAGUUGAAGAAGCUUGAAUUUUGCUAUAAGAAGUUGAUGAUCUGAGCCACAGUCAGCUCCAGGUCUUGUUUUUGCUGACUGUAUAGAGCUUCUCCAUCUUUGGCUGCAGAGAAUAUAAUCAAUCUGAUUUCGAUGCUGCCCAUCUGGUGAUGUCCAUGUGUAGAGUCGUCUCUUGUGUUGUUGGAAAAGUGUGUUUGUUCUGCUUGUUCUCUUGGCAGAACUCUAUUAGCCUUUGCCCUGCUUCGUUUUGAACUCCAAGGCCAAACUUGCCAGUUGUUCCUUUUAUCUCUUGACUCCCUACUUUAGCAUUCCAAUCCCCUAUAAUGAGAAGAACAUCCUUCUUUGGUGUCAUUUCUAUAAGGUGUUGUAAGUCUUCAUAGAAUUGGUCAAUUUCAGUUUCUUCAGCACCAGUGGUUGGUGCAUAAAUUUGGAUUACUGUGAUGUUAAAAGGUCUGCCUUGGAUUCGUAUCGAGAUCAUUCUAUCAUUUUUGAGAUUGCAUCCCAGUACAGCUUUCGCCACUCUUUUGUUGACUAUGAGGGCCACUCCAUUUCUUUUACGGGAUUCUUGCCCACAGUAGUAGAUAUGAUGGUCAUCUGAACUGAAUUCGCCCAUUCCCGUCCAUUUUAGUUCGCUGAUGCCCAGGAUGUCAAUAUUUAUUCUUGCCAUCUCAUUUUUGACCACAUCCAACUUACCAAGGUUCAUGGUUCUUACAUUCCAGGUUCCUAUGCAAUAUUUUUCUUUACAGCAUUGGACUUUCCUUUCGCUUCCAGGCAUAUCCGCAACUGAGCGUCCUUUCGGCUUUGGCCCAGCCGCUUCAUCAGCUCUGGAUCUACUUGUACUUGUCCUCCGCUCUUCCUCAGUAGCAUGUUGGACGCCUUCCGACCUGAGGGGCUCAUCUUCCAGCGUCAUAACUUUUAUAUGCCUGUUGCCUUUGUCCAUGGAGUUUUCUUGGCAGGGAUACUGGAGUGGCUUGCCGGUUCCUGCUCCAGGUGGAUCACGUUUGGUCAAAACUCUCCACUAUGACCUGUCCAUCUUGGGUGGCCCUGCACGGCAUAGCUCAUAGCUUCUCUGAGUUAUUCAAGCCCCUUCGCCACGGCAAGGCAGUGAUCCAUGAAGGGGUUGUAACCCUACAAGCAUAGUCAAAUGACUACAAUUGUCUUUCAGAUAAUUUACAAAUUUACUUGUCUUUCAGGAACGUCUGGUUGGGCUGUUCUCGUAUUCUUCCUGUCAUUUUUGCCAGUUCUGCGUAAUCCAUCAGUUUCAUCUGCCAUUCUUCUUUGGUUGGUAAUUCUUCUUGUUUCCAUUUCUGUGCUAGCAAUGUUCUUGCAGCCGUAGUUGCAUAUAAAAAUAUUUUUUUUAUCUUGUCUAUUUAUUUUGGUAUCUACAAUUCCAAGUAGAAAUGCUUCUGGUUUUUUGACAAAUGUAUAUUUUCAACAUCUUUUUAAGUUCCUUAUAUAUUAUCUCCCAGAAGCAUUUCACUUUCUUACAUUCCCACCACAUAUGAUAAAAGGUACCUUCUUUAUCGUUACAUUUCUAACAUUUAUUGCUUGCUUUGUACAUUUUAGCUAGUUUCACUGGUGUUAUAUACCAUCUAUACAUCAUUUUCAUCACAUUCUCUUGCAAAGCAUUACAUGCAGUAACUUUUAUUCCUUCUUUCCAUAAUUUUUCCCAGUUUUCUAGUUCUAUAUUAUAUCCAAAAUCUUUAGCCCAAUAUAUCAUUACAGACUUAACUUCUUCAUCUUUCAGAUGCCAUUCCAAUAGCAAUUUAUACAUUUUCAUUUUAUUCACUUCUAUACCCUGUUGUGAUGAUAACAUAAGGAGAAGGAGACCCAUGAAUGCCAAAUUGAGCUCCUUGGUGGAAAUAUGGGAUGGAUAUAAACGCAACACUGACAAAAAUAAAAAGUGUCUCUCCAGCUGUCCUGUCCCAGAUUUUGAAUUGGGGGAGGAAGGUUAGUUUUGGAAUUAUUAAAAAAAAGUAAAAAGAAUAAAAAAUAAAAAGAAUCUGGAACACAACCAGCAUGUUCAGGCCUACAAACACUGACUUCUGCAUGUAGGUCCACAGCAAAUCCAAUGUGUGGCUGUCUACUGGGAAAGGCUUGCCUGAGGUGGGAUGCAGGCAAGGUGCAAGCCUUGCUCCCAUCAGACACAGAGGCUCUGCACACUAAAUUCUCAUCUGAUCCAUCCCUGGCACCAUUCUCCAAUAUAUAUAAUAGCAAUUUAAAUUUGCCAAAGUGUUUUAUAGUCUUUUUUCUCUUCACAACCCUGUAAUUUUUUUAAAAAAAUAAAUAAAUAAAUAGCCAAAAGAACAGCACUGGCACCUUGAAAGGUAACAAAUUUACUGUGGCAUAAAUGUUUUGGAUAGAUCAGAUGCAUCAUUCUUGGUAAGACAUGAAGGUUUACAGAAUAACAUAUUUGCUAGCCUCUAAUACGCCGCUCGACUUUUGUUUCAUUUCUGCUGUAAGCCGUGGCUAGUUCACUAUCCCUUUGAUGGAAAGGAUGCCAGGGUACUGUGCCCAACACAACACCAUGAACCAGUGACCGAGAGGAGGAUUUUACAGUUAGGUCUCCAGGUCCUCUGGUGUGCUUGCUUUUUAAAGGUAUAAAGGCGAGGAGGUUCCUGCCAACUGGCUGAAGAAGGAAAAUGUGCUGGCAGCAUUCUACCCAGUCAAAGUGUGAUGCAGCCUAAGGGGAGUUAUCUGUUAACAGAACCACCUCACAAACCACAGCCUCCUCCCACAGACUUGAGCAGGGGAGACAGGUUAGGAACAGUGCGCCCCAGAAAUAAAUGGUGCAAGUAUGGACAGCGUGUACCUGCCUCAUCAAUGAGGAAACUCUGUUUGUAUUUAAUAGGGUGAUUUCACAAGAGGCAUUCUGUUUUCACAGUCACCAACUUAAAACACACACACACAUACACACAGCAUUUAAAAAACCUAAAUAUAAACAGAAAUGCAAAGCCUCCAUGCUUCCCUCAAACACACAGACACACAUUUAUACCUGCAUCUCCAAACUUAAAUACGGCACACAGGCAGAUGGAGAAUUUUUAAACCUAAAGGAAAACAGGAAGGCAAAACCUUCAGGCUUCUCUCAAACCUAACGACACACACAAACCCUACAGCUCUCACAACACAAAAGUGUUGGAAGUUGCAACACAAACAGAAGCUGCCACCAUUGCCCCUCCCCAGUUCACAAAACUAAAUGCAACUGAUUAAAAAUAGAGACUCGUACCAUCGCUAGCUCCCAAAAAUAUCCAUGAGAAACAAGCUGCUCAAACUAGCAGCCCCGCCCUGCUCCUGGCUAGCUGCAAAGAUGGUGCUGAGAGGGGUUUGAAGGCCUCUCCUUCAAGGAAGCAGCUCUGAGCAGGCUCAGAGCAGACACAUUGGCUCGCAGGUCAACCUGCUGAGGAUAGAUUCAUUGCCAGCAUGAGAACAGGAGGGCUGGAAAACUGCCAGUGUGGUGUAGUGGUUAAGAGCAAUAGACUCGUAAUCUGGUGAACCAGGUUCGCGUCUCCGCUCCUCCACAUGCAGCUGCUGGGUGACCUUAGGCUAGUCACACUUCUCCGAAGUCUCUCAGCCUCACUCACUUCACAGAGUGUUUGUUGUGGUGGAGGAAGGGAAAGGAGAAUGUUAGCCGCUUUGAGACUCCUUCGGGUAGUGAUAAAGAGGGAUAUCAAAUCCAAACUCUUCUCUUCUUCUUCUACUGCACAAACAGGGCUAAGGGCCAAUAGCUCUUUUAAGAUUAAAACUUAUUGCCAUGUGUUAUUUCUGCCAGGAGACACAUGAGUCAGACCUCCUGGCUAUAGCUGUAUUUUUGGACUGAGAUUGGCAGAGAGCUGAUUGGUCAGGGAACAGGAGAUUGACAGAAGUGUCUCCAAGAGGAGCCCUCCAAAUUCAAAAGGAGUAUGGAAGGAUGUAUGCUGUGCUAGCAUGCUGGAGUAGACAUUAACUGGGAAAGCCUAGAUGUGCCUUGCUGUGCUGGUCCGGGGGGGGGGAGGUUACCGUGAGGCGUGGUCAAAGUCCAGUCCUGGGCCGAGGGUCUGGAGACUGUCCACCAAGGGGGAAGCAGGGUCCAAAGCAAGAAGCCGGGCGUGGUCGGGAACUCUGGAAGAACAGGUCUGGGUGCCGGCAGAAACAGGUUUCCAACGUCAUUGCUCCCGCAACCUGGGACUGGGCUGACUGGCCUUUAUCUUCUCUGAGGCCAGGGGCAGUCCCGGCCCACAGGUGACCUGCCUCUCCUGGCUUUAAGGCGAGCACUCCUCCUGAGAGCUUAGUUCCCUCUGCCUCUCUGCCCUGAGCCCCUGCAGCUCAGGAGAGGCUGGAGGGUUACUGGACCCAGGAGCAGCUUCACCUUCCCCUGACAGGGCUGGGAGAGGCGCACCUGCAGGCAAGGGGUCCUCAAUCACCUCCGGAGCCAGAGUGGAUACAUCUGGUGUCUGCUCCUAAGGACCCGGCACAGGUGCAGGCUCUUCAGAUUCAAGGCCCUGCCCUGGCUCAGCCGGCCCUGGAGGCGGGGACUCCUGUGUAGGCUGGGACUCCUCAGAUUCUGAAUCAGAUUCCCAGGCCACCACAUUUGCAGUCCAGGAUGCAGCCUGAUAGUCAAGAGACAGGGAUGCCCAAGCAAGCCACAAACAUCCCCGACAUCCAUUCACACGUUCAUAUGGCAUUUUUCAUUCAGCGGCAAUUGGUUUAUUUCGCACAAUUAUUUCUUCCAUUUCAUCACCAGCUGAUGCAGAUCACACACAUUGUAGUGCAACAUAUCUCGGCCAUCAAGAAAUGUUUACAAAUAAAUCACUUUCUGUGUGGGUUAUGCAAAGUUAAGGAAUUCCCAGAGGGGCAGCCCAAGUAGUCUUUUGCAGCAAAAGCAAGAGAGAGUUUAAAGACCCAUCUAUGGCUGAGACGCUAACCAUGCCUACUCAGAAGCCCCACUGAAUUCAAGGCAAUUUACUUCCAGAUAUGUGGGAUUAGGGUUGCAUUUUAUUCUGCUAGUUUGGUUUCACAGUUCAGUAGAAAGCUUCUCAUCCUGUCUUGUUUCCCUCACAUGGGAAUUGGCUGCCCCCAGAUGGUGGAAUCCCCUCCCAAGAGAGACUAGAUGGGCUUCCCUCUGUGGUGUCCUUCUGCUGGCAGGCUGAGACCUUCUUGCACAGCCCAGCCUUUGAAAGAUAAGGUGCAGGUGAUGCUAACCACCGGACUGGAUUUUAAUGCUGGUUUUAAAUGUGCUUUAAUGUAUUUUGGCUACAGUAAGCCCAUAAUUUAGAUGCAGUAUAUGUUCCUCGAACUGAGUCCAAAGCCAAAACUGUGUAUAGUUAAAACACAUUGGGUUCAAUGGUGGGUGGGAUUGCCAAAAUCUUUUUCCCCAGAUGCCUGUCUCCUUCUUAAUAUAUAUAUAUCUAUAAUUUUUCCAAGUGCAUAAAGCUGAAUGUGCACAAGUAAAAUGCACAUAACUUGUGGGCUUACUGUAUUGAUUUUAUUACUUUGUGUUUUAUUGUCAUCUUUUAAAGAUUUGUAAACCUUGAAUCCCAGUUUGGGAGAAAUUAAUUAAUUAAUAAGAGCGGCGAUAAGAUGGCUCACUAGAACACGAGACUCUUAAUCUCAGAGUUGUGGGUUUGAGGUCCACACUGGGAAUUGCAGGGGGUUAGAAUAGAUGACCCUCAUGGUCCCUUCCAACUCUAUGAUUCCCCAAGGACAGGCAAUUUAAUAACAUUGAUCUUAAAGCAGCAAACACUCUCUCCCUGUCGAAAAAACAAGGUGCUGCAAAAUAUGAUUGGUUUGAUAAGGUUGGGUUUCCAUGAAUCAGUUAAAUCAGGGGCAGUCAACCUUUUCAUACCUACCGCCCACAAAUGCAUCUUUCUUGAUGGUAAAAUUUCCUUACCGCCCACCAGUGCUCGAUGGAAGGAGGAUUCAGCUUGUGCCGUAGAACCCCCUACCGCCCACCUAGAAUCCUGAAACGCCCACUAGUGGGCCAUAGGGACCAGGUUGACAACCCCUGAGUUAAAUGAACAAAUGUGAGACAUAGUUGCUUGCCACCUCAGAUGUCGCUGUGGAGGUGCUACAUGCAUCUGGUUUCCAAGUGGAGCUUGACACUUGUCACCUGCUGUUUCCUUGCUGGGGCAAGGAAUCUCAUUCUUGUAUAGGUACUUUGUCUGUACUCUGUCCUGCGAUGGCACUUGCCUUUUGUCAGGGUGGUAGCAGAGACUCCCGGCUGGUUGCCCAGGAAAGUAUAAAGACAAGGAAAAGUUUCUUACAGUCUUUACAGAGAGAGGCUAUAGAACCUAGCCUCUUGGAUAAUGGGAUUGUCCUGAGUGAAUUUCCACCACCACCCCAUCUCUCCCACAUCCUCAUUCUUCAUUGUCAUCAUCUCCUCUAUGGGUGCUGCUACGUGCCCUCUGUCUUCGAGCUCUUUGCUCUCCAACUUUUAAGGCUUGCCAGGUUCUGGGAGAUGGGGGGUCUGGAAUGCUUUCUAAUGACAAUGUGGCAGCUGAGUGUUGCUCUGGUUCUCCCAUGAUUUCCCAGCUUUCCCCCUCAUCUGCCUCUGAGCUGUGACCUCUCUCAAACCCUUGUUGUAAAUCUAAACUCUCUUCCUCUUUUCUGGAAGGGUCAAGCUGCGGAAGUGGUCUCCACCAUUCCUCCUCUGCCCAGUCCCUGACAUCUUGUGUUGUCUUAUGGUUUAAAAAAUAAGUACAUUUGAAAAAAAAAAAAACAUUAAGGGGAAAAAACCAUUAUGCUGGAGCAUUGCUGGGUCAAAUCAAGCCCAGAGCUACAAGACACUUCAAAGAGAAUCUCUGGUAGGAUAUUACUAGCAAGCAACAGGUUGUUGAACCAGGAGCAUGAAGGCUGCCCCAGCAGGAGACGGACCAGGCGAAAGAAGGUCUCUAUAACCAGGCUUUUGCCUGAUUGACAUCCUAUGGACUUUUAAAGGUGUUUGUAGGAGAGGGGUUAUUGGUUUGCUUUUCGUUUGUUUCAUUAUGAAUUUUGUGCUCUCAUUUUUUAUUUUUAUGCUGUGAACUGCCUUGUGAGCCUCAGAUGAAGGGGUGGAAUACAUAUGAAAUAAAUACGCUUCUGUUUUGGAAACGUUUCGGCUCCUGAAUGAUUCCGAAUGUUUUUCAGAAGCCGAACGUCUGAUGCAGCUUCCGCUUGAGUGCAGGAAGCUUCUGCGACCAAUCGGAAGCUGCGCCUUGAUUGUUGAACAUUUCAGAAGCCGAACAUUCGACAACUGAGGUUUGACUGUACUGAAUGAGGUGUGGCUUGAUCUGCCUUGUGAUGACAAAUGCUGUUUAAAACAAGCUAAAAUUAAUUUCAGAGCACUGAGUAUUGAGGCUUUAAGAGAAACAGAGUGUUGUUCCGAAGAGGCUGAAAAAUGGCACUCCUCUCUCUGUCACACACACACCUAUCUCUGAAUGAAAACUACCUUAAGGGACUAAUCUUUUUCUGGUUCAGUGAGGCAGAGUGUGGAUGAGCUAGCUCCUGUAAUGUAAUGGGUUAUGCUGCAAUGUUUCUGUUUAAUCCAGAUUAAUUAUGCAAAUAUAUUCAAAUUACUCCAGGGUGACAUGUAAAUUGCCAAGCAUCAUGUGACGACUUGGCUAUUUGCCUCUGGGCAAUCAUUUUGUGAGAACAAACUGUAUGUGUACAAGGAAGCUGUUACAUGGUGGUUCAUCUUCUGUGUGUGACAAGGCCCCCAGGCAGAGAAAGUGACGAAAACAAUACGGCACUGUGCUGGACAGGAUGUGUCCGUGUUUUAAACAUUUUAUUUCUCCUUUAUUUUAAAUACUUAAGGUGAACAAAUUAAAACAAUAAAUCAAACAUGAGGAAUGCAAAAUUAAGCUACAACUACAGUUAAGAAAUCAACAUCUGUACAGAAGCUGCAGCGGUGAAAGCCCUGUCUCAAAUGAUAUGGCUCGAAAAGAGAGAUCAAAGCUUGCCAUUGAAAGGUAAGAAGCAAUGGAGCUGGGUAACCUUCUUGUGGCAAGGUAUUCUACAGUCACCACAAAAAAGGCCCUGUCAGCCAUUCCUUCAAGCGUCCCAACUCUACUUCUAUGGAUGGUGUUGUUGUUGUAACAAUGGGUGCCAGUCUGAACUUUUUCUGUGGUUUAGUACCACACAUCAUAGCAUCAGUUAACUUGGCAUAACUCGGCAUGCAGUCCCCAAUGAACUGUUUUAACCCUGGCACUGGUAAUUAUCUUAAACAUGAACAUGAGUAAAUAUUCUGACAUAAUACCUAAAGACCAGUGCACUAAUCCUGUACAGUUGGUACCUCAGGUUACAAACACCUCGGGUUACAAGCGCUUCAGGUUACAAACUCCGCUAACCCAGAAGUAGUACCUCGGGUUACAAACUUUGCCCCAGGAUGAGAAUGGAAAUCGCGCUGCGUUGGUGUUGGGAGGCCCCAUUAGCGAAAGCACGCCUCAGGUUAAGAACGGUUUUGGGUUAAGAACGGACCUCCGGAAUGAAUUAAGUUCAGAACCCAAGGUACCAUUGUAUUAUCACCUUUUGUGGGAAAGAAUGGAAAUUUGCACAGACAAUUGAAUCUACUUCCAAGGACAAAGUCAUGAUUCAGGAAAUAUACAAGGUAGCUACAGUAGUUAGUCCUUUCUCCUACAAACUGGGCAAGCUAAACUAAAUAGCAAAUAGGAACUUGAAGAAAGUAAACAAAGGAAGAAAAGAAGAAGAGUUAUGACACUCACCCAGAGAGACCCCCCUUCUCCCUAAGGAGACUCAAACUUGGGUCUCCAGCUGUUGUUGGACUACAACUUCCAUCACCCCUAGCUAGCAGGACCAAAAAAUACUCAAACCCCAGAUUUUUAACAUUGUGUAGCUCACAGCUCCAAGGGGAGUCCCUUUGCCCUCUACACUCUUAAGAAACAAUGCUAUGCUUCGCUGGAUCACAGACAAGGAAUGAAUGAGAGAGAGAAGCUGUAUUUUUUCUGUAUUUUGUAUUUUGUAUUUUUUCUUUUUUCUAUUUUUCUUUUUCCUAUAUAUGUAACUUUUUUUUGGAAACCUUAUUAAAUAUCAUUUAAAAAAAAGAGAGAGAGAGAGAGAGAGAGAAGCUGUAGCCUGGUGGGUAUAGGAUACUGGCUAGGAGAGCUUAAAUGGCACAGAUCUCUGAUCCUGGACUUAGGUUCCAAUUACUUCAGGACAGCUAUGCUCUUCUCCUCCGACACUCAAGUACUUUUAGUGUGAAUCUGUGGCAAAUUGUUAUACCUACCACCCAGGCUUUGGGGGUGGUUAGGUAUCCUUUUUACUCUCAAGAUCAAAAUACGUCUCCUGCGAUUUACUUCCCACUUAUAUUGUAACGUUGCUCUCUGAAAGUGGCAUCCAUAUACUCAAUAUCACCUUUAAUUCAAAUAAUAAACCAAUAUAUGUUCCUUUAGUCUGGGCAUAAGGUCAAGAGUAGGAAUACACAAUGGAUACACAUUUAACUCCAGGAAAAGUUCCUAAACAUCUUUGGAGUGUGUGUAAGAAGACAUGUGGUUGGUGGACACUGGUGUAGGUUCAGACACCACACAACACGGUGGCAGGUUUUGCCUGCCAAUCUGUGAUGCGGUAGACCACUGGUCACUAGCAUCAGGCUCAGAGCCAGGAGCCCACUGCCUGAGCACUGUAGCUGCUCUUCUGGUGCUCUGAUCACUGCUGGACGCCAGGGCGGUGGCAUGUCCCAAACACAGAACUUGACCUGCAUCCUCUGUAGGUCCUAUUCCAUGCAAUCACUUGCCAAGAGUGAAGGUCCUUGGCUCCUCACAGCUGUCUACAUUUCCUCCUUUCCAUGGCUUCUUGUGAGCAAUCAGACUGCCCCUGCGUGAAGCCAACCUGUCCUCUGCCCUUUUCAUGCCUCUUCUGUUUGUGGGAGACAAGGGGAGAGGGGAGCCUGUCACAGCAGGAAGGGGAGACACCUCCCACCUCCCCUGCUCCAGCUUCUGCCUCUGAUUCUGGACUUCUCUCUGCCACAGACACCCCCCCCCCGUCCAGCUCACUAAGCCCUGUUACCUCCUCAGCUUCCAACACCUUCUCUUCCCAGUCUUCUCCCUCUUCUCCCACUGACCACUCAUUGUUGUCCCACCACUGUAGGAAUAACGAGGACGAUGGGAGGUUGAAUGCAGGUGAGCUGUGCAGAAGCACGCUGGCAAGUAUGCUCCAAGCAAGCUGCCAGCUAGUUCUGUAGAGGCUCCUUUUAUUAGCAGAAGUCAACAAUUGGAAACAGUAGUGAAACCACUCUGAACAUGACGUAUUUCCAUCUAAGCACAUUUCCAGUGUUAGCAAAUACACAUGUCAGCAGGUGUUUCCCUAAAAUGUUUUCCCCGAUACUUGAUUAUGUCUGUGUCCCCAGUCAUGCUCCAUCCAAGCGUUAUGUCUAGUAACCAAAUCUGUGAGAGGACAGACGGGCAGGGGAAAAACCCUGUUUGCUAGCCAAGAAGGCAAAAGGUCAGGGAGCGUGGGCGCAAUGCUCCUUGGCACACUGUUGCAUGCUUGGUGUGAGGUUUGCCUCAGCACAAGCUGAGCGUCACCUCCACACACCACCAUUUCCCAGGAUCUGAGCCUUCUUCCCUUGGUGGGUCUCCAGCUGGUUCCUCCCACCGCUCCUCUGUGUCCAGCCAGCCCAGGACAGCCCAGGACAGAACUCUGUGGCACCUCACUCCUUUACACCCUCCUAGUGCUGCAGCAAUAAAACUACUAGCACAUUUGCAAAGCUAAGUUGUGUCUGGUAUGGUUUCAAAUCGGAUGGGUGCCAUGUGUUGAGAUACUUGCAUUGCAGCGGGUUGGGUUACAUGACCCUCAGAGUCCUUCCAGCUCUAUGGUUCUAUGUCUUGCCAUUUCCCUCCAGGCUGAUGAGGAGCCAAUGAUUGCUAUUCUUUUGGUAUCACCAGUUAACUACAAACACACCUUGAUAGUUACUUGCAUUUAAAGAUGAAGACAGCAUUUGCUGAAGUCCAAUCUUAGUGAGUUUUUUGUGAAUACAGUGGUACCUCUGGUUGCGAACAGGAUCCGUUCUGGAAGCCCAUUCGCAACAUGAAAAGCCCGCAACCUGAAGCACCGUAUCUGCACAGGUUGCGGCACGACCUGGCGCUUGUGCGCAUGCGCGAAGCGUGAUUUAGCUCUUGUGCGCAUGCGCGAGUGACGAAAUCUGGACGUAACCCUUUCCAGUACUUCCGGGUCGCCGCAAGACGCAACCUGAAAAAACGUAUCAUGAAGCAAACUUAACAUGAGGUAUGACUGUAUUUUAAUCCUGAGUUUAUUUAAUCCUGAGUAUAAAAAGUUUCAAAUACAAGCAGCAAAGUAUUCUAACAGAGGACACUACUUGAUGCAUCUGAUGAAGUCCACACAAGCUUAUGCUAUAAUUAAUCUGCUUGUAUUCAAGGUGCUACAGGACUCUUAGCUGUGUUGCACAUAGCUGUAGCAAACGAGAUUUCUGUAUAACGUUUGAAGUGGCCCUCAGUUUGUGCCAGACCCAAAGGCCAGAAAACAAACGAAAAACUCCUGCAGGAAUCAAAUUGUUGCCGGGUCACGUCUAAUUGCAGCGUCUUUGAUAAGACCUUAAAAACUGAGCAUUUAUGUCAGGAAAUGAAGUUUAUUCCACCAUCUGUGGCAUACCAAAGCCCUAUUUUGGCCCCAGCCAAAUUAACUGCUUGACAGGAAGGCUGCUUGUCUGCUUAUUUGUCAGUGAGUUUAUGCCAGUGUUAUUUGAACAAAAUGUGCAAUCUUUAAUUAAUUGGAAUAAAAACUGAACCGUUACAGGCUCACGUAAAAGUUUCAGAUAGUUCUUUUUAUUGCCAACCUUUCCCUGAAAAUGUUAGAUACAGCCACAUUUCAAACAAAUGCCAUUUUCUACAGCAUUCUUAACAACCAUCCUCGCCCAUCUACUAGGUUUUCCAGCACUCUUAGUUUGAACAGAAUAUUUUCAUUGAAUCACAGAAUUAUAGAGUUAGAAGGGACCCAAAGGUUCAUCUAGUCCAAUCCCCUGCAAGACAGGAAUUACAGACAAAGCAUCGAACCUUUACUUAAACCCCCCCAAGGAAGGAGAUUCUAUCACCUCUUGUGGGAGUUGGUUCCACUGUUGAACAGUUGUUACUGCCAGAAAGUUCUUCCUGAUGUUUAGUUGGAAUCUCCCUUCCUGUAACUUGAAUCUGUUGGUUUGGGUCCUACCCUCCGGAGAAAACAAGGUGGCUGCAUCUUUCAUGUGACAGCCCUAUGGAUAUCUGAAGAUGGUGAAGUACUUUGCCUAUUGCCUCUCAAGCAACUGGUGUUAUUUCACAAUAUCUGAGCCUUCUCCAAUAAAUCCAUCUUGUGAGUCAGGGGACAGGUAAUGAGCUUGAAUCCGCUCACUCCUUUUCUGUGACUCCUCUACACUUAGCACAUGUUCCUGAAGGAUGAGGACCUACCUGGAGAGCAGUUCAAUGAGUCCUAAAAACUUUCCAUUGUUUGAAUCACCAGUUUGAUGGGAUGAACCAGUAAAUGCUAGACUACAUUCUCCCAAGACGAAUAUGACAUCAAGGAUGCACUUCGAAAGGUUGUUCAUUACACAGCUUCAAUUUUGGUUGAUACUUCUAAGAUGAUGUCAACUCCUGUCCCAGACAGCAAGUAUCUUUCUAGUUUUCACCAAGCUAAGUAACAUUCUCUGUGACUAUUGCCAUUGCCCUUUCCAUGUUUGGUAUCCUGUAGGAAAAUUUCCACCACUUCCCCUUUAGAAUUCCAGUCUUCAGCAGAUACCAGAGCAGACUUAGAUGCAGAAGUGCUAGUCUUGACUGUCUCAUGCCAAUAUAAGCUUGUUUGUUUCUCCUGACUCCAGACAAGCCCCACUCUUAUAUAUAGUUCUUCCUUAGUGCUCUGAAAUUUCAGUAUGCUUUCUGGGAAAACUUUAUUGCAGGUGUCUUUUGGGAAUGUUUCAGGCAGAGGGAUGUGACCAUAAUAUAUAUUUCUAUUUCCUUUUGAGAUGGAAACUCAGUUGUGAUGCAUCCAGGGUCAAGGUCUACAUUAGGAUUACUCCUCUCAUCUUCCAAAUUCACUUCCACAUGUGCCUGUAUGACUGUUUCUUUUUCUUUUGUAUUUCCUUUUUCUGCAUCGGCCCCUUCAUCUGUGCAUGAUUACCAAAGUCAACUGCUCCUUGUCUGGGGAUGAGGUUUGCAACAGUUUCUUCUUGCUAUAAUUCUAUAGAUGAGUUCAAUUAAUUUUUUUAAAGACACAAUUAAUUCAAAUUGAAAGCUUUGGUCAACCCCUUUUUCAUUUUUCUAGUCUCUUCCUUUCUCAGCUCCUGAUUUGUGAAGAUACAUUUUGGAUACCUGAUUUACCUUUAUAUAUGAAAAAAUGACAGUUAGACAAAGUAUUAUAUACUAAUAAUUUAGUAGCAGUAAAAGCAGUGGUAGCUGUGGUAGUAGACUAGUAGUAAUAUUUCCAUGCUUUAGUAGUCACACUUGUACCAAAUCUGGUACAUUAAUACCAAACGCUGCAUUAAACACUUCCAUAAAACAGCACAGAAGCGGUUGCCAUGGUGAUAUAGAAAAAUGGAGAAGGGAUGGGGUAAAUAUGACCCCACUUACCCAUUUAAGGGUUAAAUUGCACUGAUGCAGUGAUGCUGUUCAUUAUACCUCUACAUUUCCCAAUACAUAAUAUUAUGGAUCAUAAUUUCUACGAGUAGAAAUAUAUAAAACUACGCAGACUUACACAAAAUGAGCACACUGGUAUUCAAGACCUGGUAUUCAGUCAGAAAUGCAAUGGUGGAGUGUUAUAAGUUAUAGUUGUGGGGGAUUUGCUAUGUAAAUUCAUAUACAUUUAAUACUUUUGAUAUUAGAAGUGCCAACGCCAUAACCAUUUGCUCCUAAACCAGGAAUGGAACAUCUUGUGAAUUCUUUUGCUCACUUUUCCCAACUGCUCUUUAUUUAUACAGUGGUAUCUCGGGUUAAGUAUUUAAUUCGUUCCGGAGGUCCGUUCUUAACCUGAAACUGUUCUUAACCUGAAGCACCACUUUAGCUAAUGGGGCCUCCUGCUGCCACUGUGCCGCCGGAGCACAAUUUCUGUUCUCAUCCUGAAGCAAAGUUCUUAACCUGAGGUACUAUUUCUGGGUUAGUGGAGUCUGUAACCUGAAGCGUAUGUAACCCGAGG
rnacentral:lncRNA from 1 species